rnacentral:misc_RNA from 1 species
CGCACCUUGCGCUCCUUGGUAUUCCGAGGAGCAUGCCUGUUUGAGUGUCAUGGUAUUCUCAACCUUUCCCUUUAUUGUGUGAAAGGCUUGGACUUGGAGGUUGUGCUGGUGUUUGUCAUCAGCUCCUCUUAAAUGCAUUAGCGUGAAUGUUACGGAUCGCUUCAGUGUGAUAAUUAUCUGCGCUGUGGUCGUUGAAGUAGAAUCAGUUUGCGCUUCUAACCGUCCUUACGGACAAUUAUCUAUAUGACAUCUGACCUCAAAUCAGGUAGGAUUACCCGCUGAACUUAA